AAAUGUUUUGUGAACACCGAGGAGACGACGGAACAAGAUAAUCGUGACGACGACCACAACAAACAUCAAUGGCCUUCUCUCCCAACCCUCUCUCUCUAAGCGUUCCCGAUCCUGCUUUCGAAUCUUGGCUCCGUGACUCCGGCUACCUCGACCUCCUCGAUCACCGCACCUCCGCCGCAGCUGCAGCACCCGCCCCCGCCUCCUCCUCAUCCUCCUCAGCUGCCGCCGCACCUUCUUCUGCCUCCGACGACGUCGUCUCCUCCAUCACCGGCGGCUUCUUCGCCUCUCUAUUGUCUCGUCUCGUCACCGUCUCAUCUCUUCUGACUAUCAACCCCUUCUCCAAGCUCUCCGCCGAUGACUUCUCAGGCGAUACGCCUCCGUGGACCACCGGCUUCUUCGGGGCGUGCGACUCCUACUCGUUCCCGGCGUCUUCUCAGCAGGCAAGGAUGAGGGUUCAUGAGAAUAUCAAGAGAUUCGCUAGGAAUUACGCUACGUUGUUCAUCGUCUUCUUCGCUUGCGCAUUGUAUCAGAUGCCACUUGCAUUGGUGGGGUUGUUAGCAAGUUUGGCACUUUGGGAGCUGUUCAAGUACUGCAGUGACAGAUGGGAGUUUGAUCGUCACCCUUCUGCUCGGAAGCUCGUGAUUGGUAUUGGACAGUGCGGUGAGUUUUUAAGGAACGGUUUGUGUCCUGCAUUUCGUAGCUCUGCAACUUGAAUCUCAGAAUGCUGAGAACGUUUUGAUAUGUGUUCAUAGAGAGACUUUCUAUAGGUUUUUGGGAUCUUUUUGGAUCAAAUCAUUCCUUCGACUUGCUUGCUUAGCUUAAUCACUAGAGCUUGGUGUUACUCGCGACUGCGGUUCUUCUGACGUUUUUGAAUGUCCAAAUGGCACUUUUCUCUGCUCUUGCGGUCAGUUAUUCAGUUAUGCUAUUACACGCUGGGUUCAGGAAACUCACUCCCUCCAAGAAACCUUCUCGAGGAAGAUAAAGACAGUAAUUUUGGAUUUGGCAAUGAGAUGCAUUAGCAGUUUUGGUAGCUCAGACAAACAAUAACCACAACAGCAGCAAAGCUAGAUGUUUAUGAUGAAUGGUGAGAAUAUAGACUACUUGAGUAGAUGAUAUACAAUUGUUUUAUUACCCCCAUCACAAGUAGGAUUUCCUCAUGACAACUUGCUCUCUACUUGUAUCUCCACGGUAUCUUCUACAUAAAUUGAUAUUGAUGUAUGUUAUAACAUCAUCUACGUUUAUAUUCU